UCCGUAGGUGAACCUGCGGAAGGAUCAUUAAUGAAUAACUAUGGUGUAGGUUGUAGCUGGCUCCUCGGAGCAUUGUGCACACCCGCCAUUUUUAUCUUUCCACCUGUGCACCGACUGUAGGUCUGGAUAACUCUCGUCUCUUCACGGAGACGGACACGAGGUUUGGCUCCGGCCUCUCCUUGAAUUUCCAGGUCUAUGUCUUUUUAUACACCCCAAUAGUAUGACAUUGAAUGUAGUCAAUGGGCUUUGUAGCCUAUAAAACACUAUACAACUUUCAGCAACGGAUCUCUUGGCUCUCGCAUCGAUGAAGAACGCAGCGAAAUGCGAUAAGUAAUGUGAAUUGCAGAAUUCAGUGAAUCAUCGAAUCUUUGAACGCACCUUGCGCUCUUUGGUAUUCCGAGGAGCAUGCCUGUUUGAGUGUCAUGAAAACCCUCAACCCUAGAUUGGUUAAAACCUUUCUUUGGUUUGGAUUUGGACGUUUGCCGAUGAUAAGUCGGCUCGUCUUAAAAGUAAUAGCUGGAUCUGUCUCGCGACAUGGUUUGACUUGGGCGGUAAUAAGGUAUUUCGGCUAAGGGGGACAUCUUCGGGAUGGGCCGGCGGUUGCAGGGACUAAAGGACCGGCUUUCUAAUCCAUUGGGAUCUUACGGGAUUAAUAUUCUUGACAUCUGGCCUCAAAUCAGGUAGGACUACCCGCUGAACUUAAGCAUAUCAAUAAGCGGA
rnacentral:rRNA from 1 species